rnacentral:rRNA from 1 species
UACGUACGAGGCGAGCGUUAUCCGGAAUUACUGGGCGUAAAGCGUGCGCAGGCGGUUUUGUAAGUCAGAUGUGAAAUCCCCGGGCUUAACCUGGGAACUGCGUUUGAAACUACAAGGCUAGAGUGUGGCAGAGGGGGGUGGAAUUCCACGUGUAGCAGUGAAAUGCGUAGAGAUGCGGAGGAACACCGAUGGCGAAGGCAGCCCCCUGGGCUAACACUGACGCUCAGGCACGAAAGCGUGGGGAGCAAACAGG